rnacentral:rRNA from 1 species
UCGAUAAUCAUUCACAAUGGGGGAAACCCUGAUGGUGCGACGCCGCGUGGGGGAAUGAAGGUCUUCGGAUUGUAAACCCCUGUCAUGUGGGAGCAAAUUAAAAAGAUAGUACCACAAGAGGAAGAGACGGCUAACUCUGUGCCAGCAGCCGCGGUAAUACAGAGGUCUCAAGCGUUGUUCGGAAUCACUGGGCGUAAAGCGUGCGUAGGCUGUUUCGUAAGUCGUGUGUGAAAGGCGCGGGCUCAACCCGCGGACGGCACAUGAUACUGCGAGACUAGAGUAAUGGAGGGGGAACCGGAAUUC